GAGUUAUUUUUUUGUUAGGUACCUAGUUUUGAUUUCUUAGAUGCUUGAUUUAAGACAUGUAUACGGACUCGUAAGUAAGCUUUACUGAAUACUUAUAUAAAAAAUGAAUUUGGGAAAUCAUUAAAUUAUCAAAUAUUAAAAGAAUAUACAAAUGUUGGUCUACUCUAACUUCAGCAGAUGCUUGAUAUAAUGUAAUCACAAAUAAACUUAUAAGUUUACUUGUAAAUAUCUGAUGUUCAUACUUAACAACUAUGUUUUCACUACACCAGCUCGUAAAAGCUAUCUUUAUUUGUCAAAACCUGAUGAGAAGGUUACAUUUUAUUCACAAGACCUGUAAAGUAAUUCAAUGCGAAUUUUGAGAUGUUUCCUCAUGUUGGCUGGAGGGAUUCCAAGGCCGCGGUCCAACACGCCCAUCUAUUACCUAUAUAAACUCUAUUAAAAUAGUUAUUUACGAUACAAGUGCGAAAAAUAGGAAUUACCUAUUCGCACAUGUAUCGUACAACAUUUUACAGUACAUAUGACCCUUUAAAUUUUCGACAUAGUUACAUAAUGUACAAAUUUACGUGCGGAAAAGUAGCACCAUAUGUACUGUAACAAAUCUUUCGACACAAUCAUACUGUUUGAAAUGCCACCUUCAAAUAUGAUUUUUGUACUCGUACAAGCUCGACUCGUGCAUUUGCACCAUAGUUUUGUUGGACUUUAUCCUCAACACCGACUCGCGCUGGAACGGUCAUUAUUAUGUGUUUUUAUGCAGUGUAUUUUCUUUACUAUCACACUUAGUUUACCAUUUGUAUACAUGCUGCACAAAAACCAAAAAAAUCUUGACUCUGUCCAAACAACUGUCUACUACCUUCGGUUCUUUAGACCAUGAGACAGGGCCUGCUAACAGAUAAAAACAUAGAGACGGGCUCAAUAAUAGAAUAGGAUUUCGUUUGUUAUCGAAGAGAAAUGAAGGUCGCCGAUGUAAAAACUAGGUGAUUUUUCUUACCAUUACUUUUCAUUGAACAUCAAUCUAGGUGAUUGAAAUAUUUUAUACUUCUCACCACUUUUCAUGCUAUUCGUUUGUUUAUAGGUUCAAGUAAAAGUUUGCUAUAACACAUUUAUUUAGAAUCAGCGGGUAAUUUUUACUAUAUAUACUAUUAUUUCUCGAUGAACUAUGAAACUGCUUUGUGGCGUUUUUUUUACCAUAAACAAUUUAAAAAAAAAGAACGUACCUACCUACGCACUGUGUUCAAGAAACGAUUGUUUUUUUUUAUUAUCUAAGUGUAGUUUAUUAUUGUUUAAGAAAUGUGUUUUGAUCUUAUAGUUCCGUAUUGUGUUUAAGGUUCUGUCACCUAAAGAUUUAUGGUGAAGAGAAUAUGUUUUCAUAUUUUAUGAAGGCAAAACUCUUCACGGUCCUGCAAGAGUAAGAGGCAACUAUCUGUUAGAGUGAGAAAAUAAUAUAUAGACGUUACCAUAUCACUUUAGGAGAUGGCUGCCUGCCUCCUGUUUUGCAGGGCUGUAAAAAUGCUGGUUGGACUGUCAACUUAAAGGUUUUUUUUAUUUAAACUUUCUACGGGAAGUCUACUCUUUCGUUAACAUUUUUUUUAAUUUUGCCACCUUUUUCAACUAACAAUAUCGCUGUGCUGAAUUAUUUUUCUUGGCUGAAUUACAUUAUUCCUUGGACUUAAAAAAAUCAACUGCGUAUGAGAGAAUUAAUUUAAAAGUUUAAUCUUAACGGAAAAAUUGAUUGCUUUCACCGUAUUUCUUAGUAAAUGUUCAACGAAGCGACCAAUGUGAGUAUGUUUUUGUACAAACGCUUUUAUUGCAAAUGUAUGAUACAAAUGAUACCCGUAAAUACAAAACGACAUAAAUCAAAUUAUAUCAUCGUUUAACGCUAUAAUCGUAUUUCUGAGUGCACUCAAACUACCCAGAGAUGAAGUCAUUAAUUCAAAGGUACAUAUAUUAUAUAAUUUCCAAUAGUCUUUUGGUUGCCAUCAUAACUUUUAAGAUUCAUAAUAUAUCAUUUAAGGUUAGUAGGGUAAGUGAAACAUUGAGGCCAAUGCCGAUUUAGAGGUCUGGAGGCCUCGGGCAAUAAAGGUGUGGAGGCCCCUGGCCCCAAUUUUUUUCCAAAUAAAAUGGUAAAUUUACCGAAUUCUCUAUUGUGGGGGGCCCCUCUUUUGUGGAGGCCCGGGGCAGUAGCCCCGGUUGCCCUCCCCUAAAUCCGGCCCUGACUGAGGCAAGAAAAACACUUGUAGGAGUACUUAUACUGUUCCUCCUGUCUGUCCCGAGAAAAAUAAACUAUGUUCAUCUUCACAUUCACAAAAAACCUUUAUUAACCAAAAAAAAUGCAUCAUCAGAUCCACAGCGCAGACUCCACAGUUCAGACAUUAUAGAACAAAUUAACUUACUUUCUAUAGGUACUUCAUUUCGUUUAUUUUCCUGUUACCCAACAUUACCUUACCUGGUUUAAGCGUCUGUUUAUAAUAUUAGACCAACUAUGUUAUUGACCUUAAUUGAGUUUGUAAGGAUCCACCCUAUCACCGUGGCCACGUAUUGUAACAAUUAUGUAAAUGACAUAGCCGCAAUAUGGCCUGUGAAUUGCCGCUUAUCGGCCCAUCGACACGCGACGCUUUAUUAAAGUGACUACUAUUGUUAUUUUUAAACUGUUUUAGCAUUUUAGAGUAGUCAUAAUUUAAUUGCUGUAUUGAUAAGAGGAGCGCGUCUGCUGUGUUGGUAAAUAAGCAAGGGAUGCAAUUUACCCAAUUUACACAUAUACGAGUAUGACAAUGUACAAAUACCAAUUAAAUACAAAGUUGAAAUUUGACAUGAAAGUCGAGUACGAUUGGUGAUUCUGGACGUUAUUUGUCAAAAUGCAGAGGAAGACCACAGGCCACAACGAGACCUUGACAGUUCAAGAAGCACUAGUCCUCGGGGUCUUUGCACCUGAUUUACGAUGCCCAAACCGCAUUCAAUGUGCCUUUGUUGAAAAACACUUUUAUUGAAUAAUAAAACGGGACGGUAAAAUGGAGCGAG